CUGGGUGAGACGUUUCGGGCCCCAUCGUGGCCGGAAGUGGACGGCUGUCCUGCGGGGACGGGAUUUAUGUCCAAGUCGGUCGCUUUCCCAGAAAUACCAUUUCUAUGAGCCAACAGCCUACGUACAGCUCUUCAGGUUGGCUCUCCAAAGACGGGUGGUCAGUUUUGUGGAAAACAGCUCUUUGGAGGAGGUUCUGUCUGUGAGGCGCUGGCGACUUGUGCUCCCUCCAACAUGCACCCACGUGUGUGUUUUUACCCAAUGGAGCCACAGAUAAGCAUCCACACGCCUUUCCUACGUGACUUCAC